GUCUAGGACCAUCCCACCCUGAACAUGCCCGAUCUCGUCUGAUUUCGGAAGCUAAGCAGGGUCGGGCCUGGUUAGUACUCGGAUGGGAGAAAAAUAACAGUGGUAACACAGUUGCCACAGAAG
ensembl:rRNA 5S_rRNA 5S ribosomal RNA